rnacentral:rRNA from 1 species
GACGAACGCUGGCGGCGUGCUUAACACAUGCAAGUCGAACGGAAAGGCCCUGCUUUUGUGGGGUGCUCGAGUGGCGAACGGGUGAGUAACACGUGAGUAACCUGCCCUUGACUUUGGGAUAACUUCAGGAAACUGGGGCUAAUACCGGAUAGGAGCUCCUGCUGCAUGGUGGGGGUUGGAAAGUUUCGGCGGUUGGGGAUGGACUCGCGGCUUAUCAGCUUGUUGGUGGGGUAGUGGCUUACCAAGGCUUUGACGGGUAGCCGGCCUGAGAGGGUGACCGGCCACCAUGGGACUGAGGUACGGCCCAGAAUCCAACGGGAGGCAACAGGGGGGAAUAUUGCACAAUGGGCGGGAGCCUGAUGCAGCAACGCCGCGUGCGGGAUGACGGCCUUCGGGUUGUAAACCGCUUUCGCCUGUGACGAAGCGUGAGUGACGGUAAUGGGUAAAGAAGCACCGGCUAACUACGUG